rnacentral:rRNA from 1 species
AACGAACGCUGGCGGCAGGCCUAACACAUGCAAGUCGAGCGAAGUCUUCGGACUUAGCGGCGGACGGGUGAGUAACGCGUGGGAACGUGCCCUGGGGUGCGGAACAACCGCUGGAAACGGCGGCUAAUACCGCAUGAUCCUCCCAAGUAGCGAUACGGGGGAGGCAAAGAUUUAUCGCCCUGGGAUCGGCCCGCGUCGGAUUAGGUAGUUGGUGGGGUAACGGCCUACCAAGCCGAUGAUCCGUAGCUGGUUUGAGAGGAUGAUCAGCCACACUGGGACUGAGACACGGCCCAGACUCCUACGGGAGGCAGCAGUGGGGAAUCUUGGACAAUGGGGGCAACCCUGAUCCAGCCAUGCCGCGUGAGCGAUGAAGGCCUUAGGGUUGUAAAGCUCUUUCACCGGUGAAGAUAAUGACGGUAGCCGGAGAAGAAGCCCCGGCUAACUCCGUGCCAGCCGCCGCAGUAAAAC